CAAUAGCGUAUAUUAAAGUUGUUGCAGUUAAAAAGCUCGUAGUUGGAUUUGUGGUGGUUUGGUUGGUCCAAAUUGUUUGGUACUUUACUGAACUGCCAUCUUUGGUCGGAUCUGGUGUGGCAUUAGGUUGUCGUGCUGGGGAGGUCCAUCGUUUACUGUGAAAAAAUUAGAGUGUUCAAAGCAGGCUUAUGCCGUUGAAUAGAUUAGCAUGGAAUAAUGAGAUAGGACCUUGGUACUAUUUUGUUGGUUUGUGCACCGAGGUAAUGAUUAAUAGGGACAGUUGGGGGUAUUCGUAUUCCAUUGUCAGAGGUGAAAUUCUUGGAUUUUUGGAAGACGAACUACUGCGAAAGCAUUUACCAAGGAUGUUUNCAUUA
rnacentral:rRNA from 1 species